AUUGAACGCUGGCGGCAGGCAUAACACAUGCAAGUCGAGCGGAGCGGCGGAUGGGUGAGUAACGCCCAUGUAUCUGCCUGGUUUUGGGGGAUACAGUCCGGAAACGGGCGCUAUUACCGCAUACUACCAGAUGAGCUUAGGUCGGAUUAGCUUGUUGGUGGGGUAAAGGACUACCAAGGCGACGAUCCGUAACUGGUCUGAGAGGAUGAUCAGUCACACUGGGACGGAAACACGGUCCAUACAUCAACGGGAGGCAGCAGUGGGAAAGAUUAGACAAUGGGCGAAAGCCUGAGCCAGCCAUGCCGCGUGUGUGAAGAAGGUCUUCGGAUUGUAGAGCACUUUAAGUUGGGUGGCGUUACCAACAGAAGAAGCACAGGCUAACUGCGUGCCAGCAGCCGCGGUAAUUC
rnacentral:rRNA from 1 species